rnacentral:rRNA from 1 species
UCGGGAAUAUUGCGCAAUGGAGGAAACUCUGACGCAGUGACGCCGCGUAUAGGAAGAAGUUUUUCGGAAUGUAAACUAUUGUCGUUAGGGAAGAGAAAGGACAGUACCUAAGGAGGAAGCUCCGGCUAACUACGUGCCAGCAGCCGCGGUAAUACGUAGGGAGCGAGCGUUAUCCGGAAUUAUUGGGUGUAAAGGGUGCGUAGACGGGAGAGCAAGUUAGUUGUGAAAUCCCUCGGCUUAACUGAGGAACUGCAACUAAAACUACUAUUCUUGAGUGCAGGAGAGGUAAGUGGAAUUCCUAGUGUAGCGGUGAAAUGCGUAGAUAUUAGGAGGAACACCAGUGGCGAAGGCGACUUACUGGACUGUAACUGACGUUGAGGCACGAAAGUGUGGGGAGCAAACAGGAUUAGAUACC